CUCUACUACAGAAGUGAGGAGUAGCAAUAUGGAAUGUGUCUUCUUCUAUUUCACACUCUCUGCUUCAAUCUGGUUCUACUGGGACUCCGAUGAUACAAAUGUUAGAUCUGUGUUAUUGUCUCACAGAUCUCUGAGGAAUGAAAGGCACUUCCUCUGACCAGGAUUCUGAUGACUUUAGCUUCGCUUUUCUUUACUCUCCAUUGCCUUCACUGCUGGACAUGUGAUGACUCCUGGAGGCUCAGGCUUGCACAUCCUUACACCUACUAGAUGACAGAGACAUAUCUUGAAAGAAGUUACUGUGGCUGAUACCGA